UACAGAGGUCUCAAGCGUUGUUCGGAUUCAUUGGGCGUAAAGGGUGCGUAGGCGGCGCGGUAAGUCGGGUGUGAAAUCUCGGGGCUCAACCCCGGAACUGCAUUGGAUACUGCCUUGCUUGAGUACUGGAGAGGAGAUUGGAAUUUACGGUGUAGCAGUGAAAUGCGUAGAUAUCGUAAGGAAGACCAGUGGCGAAGGCGAAUCUCUGGACAGUUACUGACGCUGAGGCACGAAGGCCAGGGGAGCAAACAGG
rnacentral:rRNA from 1 species